UACGGGGGGAGCAAGCGUUGUUCGGAUUUACUGGGCGUAAAGGGCGCGUAGGCGGUCGUGACAAGUCACUUGUGAAAUCUCCGGGCUUAACUCGGAACGGUCAAGUGAUACUGUCGGACUAGAGUACAGAAGGGGCAACUGGAAUUCUCGGUGUAGCGGUGUAAUGCGUAGAUAUCGAGAGGAACACCUGCGGCGAAGGCGGGUUGCUGGGCUGAUACUGACGCUGAGGCGCGAAAGCCAGGGGAGCGAACGGG
rnacentral:rRNA from 1 species